GGAGGGAACAAAAUGCCUGUUUUGUAUCCUUUAUGUACAGCACAGAUCGACUGGGCUAGAUGACCUUUAAAGGUACCUUCCAACCCAAAACAUUCUGUAAUUCUAUAAUUCCAUGAUUUUUCUCCCCCAGUUGUCUAAGUUAACCCACAGAUUUUCCCCCAAAGUUACUUUGUGGGUUAUUUUCUGUCUCUGAACACCUGUUGUCAACCAGCAAGGAGCUGAAUAGAUAAACUAAUCCUGGGACAUGCAACAGAACCCUCGUGCCUUCCUGGUUUUUAAGGUCACAAUGGGUUUUCCAAUGCUGGAGAAUGCAGAGCUGAGGUGGAAAUGGGACAUACAAAGGAGGUACCAGCAGGCUGAUAGGUGCGUGCUGCACAGACAGAGCUUGGUAAAAGGCUGUUGCUUUUAUUUAUUUAUUUAUUUAUUUAUUUAUUUAUUUAUUUAUUUAUUUAUUUAUUUAUUUAUUUAUUUAUUUAUUUAUUGUUGGCUUCCCAAACCUCACUUUCAUCUGAAAAAUCCUAUAUUUGUUUUCUUUAUUAAAACUCUCAAAGCUCUUCUCACAGGUGCCAGUAACACCAACAUUGAGGGCACUAAUAGCUCUUAUCAGCUCCAAGCUGCCUCACCUGGGGCUUCCACCCCACACCCAUGGGCCCAGGAGCCAAUUUAAGCUCAGCUCAGGGCCAUCAGCCUCUAUUUGAGUGAUGAUGUGGGGCUGCUGGUCUCCACCUCAGCCCCAAAUGUGUUUUUGCCUGACCAUGGACACUGCUGGUCCUGGAUCUUGACCUUGUCUCACCCUUAUGGACCUGCAUGGUGAUGGUGUGCUUACUGACCCAUUAGAUCAACAUCAGGGAGUCUCAACACCACCAGCAGUCCUGACACCACUGACUACUGCCAGAGGACCAGAGCCCAGGAGAGCUCCGGUAAGCAGAUAAAGGUAAUCAGACACCCCACUGUGCCUGAUGGGGCUUGUAUCAAGCUAGAGGGAUGGGCCAGUGACACUGGAGAGGACCUAGUCCCCAUGCUUACCUCCAGCACCUGCAGCUCGGCGGUGUUCUGGCUCAGGUGGAAGAACUUCUCAAUGAACUGCUGCUCCGUGGUGCAGAGGGGCUGCAGCUCUCGCAGCACCUGCUCCAACAUCUGCUCAGAAACCAGCAUGCACGUUAAAACUCCCAACACACACUGAGGACACUGGGAUGGGUGCCCAUGUCCACCUGAAGUGACAUGUAAGCCAGCAGUACAGAACAGCUCUGUUUCAGCCCCAGGUACGCAACACCGGAGAAAUGGCCCUGGGAUGUGCUGCAGCACUGGGCACAGCCCUUGUGGGACAUGUGAACCAUUUUGAAAACUUCAUCUCCUGACCUUGAUGACGUUUCCUCUGUCCGGUGUGUCCUCCUGUCCUUCUCUGCUCCCUGGGAGGCUCCAGCGAGGGUGCUGCCUGCUCCCCAUCACCAUCGGCUUCUCCAAGCCCUCCUGAAGACCUGCAACAGGCACAGCGUGGUGGCUGGGCAUCUGUCCCUCCUGGCCUCUCCAGAUCCUCUGAUCACUUUAAUGGAUUGAAACAUCUUUCUUUAUUACUGAUCUUUGGUGUGUUUUGGCCUUUCCCCAACAGAUUUUUAUCAGGUUCAAAUAUGCAGGGGAUACAGUUUUGUUCUUUUUUUUUUUUUUAAUCUACCUUCUCAUCUGUUUUUCAGUCAUUACUUUCUUCUUGUUUCCCUGUGAUACUUUUCCUUUUGCUUUUUAGGGCUUAGUACUAUAUAUUGAGGACUGGGGAGUGAAAAAUCCUGGGUGAUAAGAGCAUAAAUCAGCAGAAAUGCCUGCAGGAGUUUCAGGAGAAAUGUUUGUUGCUUAGUUCUUAUGCUAAAUUACCAUUCAAACAAAUCCCUGAAGGGGACGAUUGGCUUUUUCAGCAACUUGCUUUCUUCAAUUAUAAGUGUUCAUCUGGAAAUUAAUAUACUUUUCAAACACUACCAGUUUUUACCACAACAUUUCCUUUCCUGCCUGGCUUAAGUUGAAAAGUUGAAAAAUGUAUUUGAAAUGUGCAUCAAAAACAAUUAUAUCCAGGGAAAGAAAUCAGUGGGGAAACAUCCCUAUUUUCUAAUUGAUUCUAAAAGUUGGUAUCAUUCCACUAACCCCAGACCUGGGUGACUCAGGCCAGCUCUUUAUUUUCUGUGAUAUCCAAAAUAUCCUUAUUUGAGCCAAUACCUGCAGGGCCUUUACCUUUGGAAAGGAUUUGUCAGAUGUCCUACGCAGCAAGAAGGGAUGAGAGAUGACAGACAGCCCUUCUCAUCCCCCCAGCCUUGCAAAAACCAUGGAGAAAAUUAACGAGCUGCUUCCUAAUAUUUUUUCCCACCCUUAUGCAACAGGCAAUGAUCAUUUCACUUGCUGAGAAGUGGCAAAACUAGGAAAAAAUUUCUCCCCACAGCAACCAGGAAAUAAUUUUACAGGUCUAAGUUUUUGUGUGGAAAAUGGAAUGGAAAAAUGAGGAGAAAAUUUAAUUAGUGACUCAAUUGUAAAGAGGUUGGGGUUUGCUUUGUAAACUGCCCUAUAAUACUUGAAACAAGGCAGCAAAUCAUCAGGUUGGGUAUUUAGAAGGGAUCAACAUAAACAAUCCUUUAUGAGGCAGGGAAACAACCCGAAAAAUUCACUGCUGGGGUCGUGAUUAGAAAGAAAGAGGCAGUGGGAGCUAGAGAAAGCCUGGGAAGAAAGCCAGGAGACACAGGAGUUUCUCCUGGGAUUUUAGUUACUUCUGUUUUAUGGGGCUUGCAUGAGUACUAACGAUGGACCAAGUGCUGAAAGGAGAUGACUGGCUUCGUGUUUACGGAGGGGGAUUAGGUAGACUGGCUGCGACACGUGUCCUGUGCUAUCUUUAUUUAGCAAGGCUGGCUUCAUAAAGGUCUGCUUUAACAGCCCAGCCAUGUCUGCACCUGCUCAGUGCCUAGGACACAAAAGGGUGAUGGUGUUUUUCCUGUUGCCCAGCAGAACUGAAGUCCCUUGCUCAGAGUCCAUCUAUCACUUCGGAAAUAGGAGCCAGGGCCUCUCCAUCCCACACACAAUCUUUGUUGUUUCCUUCUAUUUAAGUAAAAGUAAUCAUCCUUCUUCAGGAAAUGGGGUUUGGCUACAUUAUCUUAUAAACCAUGGAGCAGUUUGCCUUCCCACUGCCAAUUCCCUGGGUUUGCUUGCUUGCCAGUAUGUUCAUAUUCUUUUAUCAGGAAUUCCUAUUUUUAAGCAAAAAAAAAAUAGGAAUUCCCCUAGGAGAAGCUGUGUCCAGGCAUCAAGGAGCCAGGGGGGUGAUAGGAAGGUUAUCUUUUGUUAACUGUUUGUAUUACCCUAUCUGCCAGGCUUCCAGGAGGGGUGUUCAGGAUGACAGAUGAGGUUGCAAUAGACCCGUGGCAGAAGUGUCUUCCUUUACAGCUCUUAUGAAAUGCCUUCCUCUUCCAGAAAUUCUAUAUCUCAGUAUUAUCCUGGGAUUAUUAUUAUAGCUUCGUUUUAUUUUCCUGUUAUCUUCUGGCUAUAGGCUUCCCUGCAUCCUCCAGCAACAGUGACAGCUUGCAGCAACAAGUACAGCAGGUUACCAGCAUUGUGCACAAAUGAUUUCCUACUCCCAGUUUUUCAGCCUGUCCCUUUGAUUUUAUUGCUUGUUAUCUUUUGGUUUUUAAAUUACAAGGGUAGUAAUAAUGUCAUAUUGACUUUCCCUGCACAACUUGUGCUUUAAUGCUUUUUACGUUAUUCUUUUUCUUGUGGAGAGUUCUUGAUUUUUUAUUAUUUUUUUUUCAGCCGGGUGAUAAUUAUCUCUCUUGGCUCCAUAGUUGGGCAAAUCAUUCUGGCAUGGAAAAAUCGGUUUGUGGUGACUAUAAAAAGUUUUCCUGGAGGUGUUUCCCUCCAUUACUUGCAAAAUUUCAAAAAGGAAAAACUUUAAUUAAGGGUCAGUACCUUAGCUAGUGGGAAAAUCCAACUCCCUACUGCUGCCUGGCAUCACAGCCCAGACUUGGGGGGCAAAGGGGGGUGAGCAGAGCCAGCAGCCAGGGCCAGCAGUGCCCCAGGGGAGCUGCUGAACCUGCCGUGGUGCAGAGGGAAGUGAUGCUGAGCGUUCCCAGCCCCAGGGAUGCAGCGUGUGUCAUCUGGGCAAGAGGCAGAGCCCUUGGCUGCACUCCUCCAGCCACCAUCAGGCACCAGCCCUCUUUCCUUUGACCUCUGUCUCCAGCCAGCAUGCAGGGUGUCUCCUGGGAUGUGGAGACAAGUGAUGAAGUAGGUGCAGAGCUGAAAGCAGCCAGGCUAGUGCUCUGAUGGACUAAACACACCAUGCGAAGUGGUUUCUGACAUUCAAGCUGGGCCAAGCUGGCAUGGAACUUUCCAUUACAGUGCUUUGUUUUUCUGAAGGAAAAUGUGAUUUCUGUGCAAUCAAAAACUUCCAGAGGAGACAGAUCAGUUUCUCUUUUUAUCUUCAGAAACACCUGACUGGAAUAUUUUGAGUCAGAUGCAGCCAUUCCUGUUGAAAUGAUCACCUUGGGACAACACAGCCCCACAGCCAGCUCAGUGUGAAAUCAUUCUGUUCUCACAAAUAUCGCUAUGAAUACACUCAUGUCUUCAGGGACAGGCUUGGUGCCAUCUCUUUACAGGGAGAAGUGCCUGACCAGCUCUGCUUGUAUGAAAUAUGGACCAGGCAUUAGCCAGGCACUCCUAUGUCCCCCUCGCUUAUGGCUCCUCAGGACGUGAUCCCAGCCACCCAUGCAUCGUUUGGGAGUCCUGAAAUGGCAAGAUACACAGAAACUACAGCCCUGAGAAGCAGCUAAACAAUGCUGAAUAAUACAUGGGGCCAUGGCUCACACAGACACCACCUGGUGCACAUCAGAGCCAACUUUGUCACCUGCUGCCAGCUGCAGACCUGGCCAUAGGGCAGGAGGGAAGCUCGUGGCACAGUAACACCCGUGAUGGGGAAUGAUUGCUGCGUUCCCUACUUGCAAACAAAUUACUGCUCAGCAGCACAAAGGUCACAUCUGAAAGUCACUUACUUCCUUUUCUUCUUCCCAACAAGAGCAUUUUGGCUUGUUCAAAAAAGGCUUUGAUUUCCCUGUCGUAGAGUCUGCUGAGGUUCUGGGCAUAGACCUGAAACAACAAGACAGGCACAGGAAUUUCCUCUGUAUCUCAUCUCCCCAUGACCAGCUCCCAUCUCAGAGCUUUUUCCUCAGCUGCCCAGUUGAAGCAAAAGUCAGCAGAUGGUAACUGAAAUGGACCUAGUGUUCUUGGGGUGUAAGACUUUUGAAAAGGCAAAACACAGUAACAAAAAUGAAAACCAAGCCUUAGUGAUAUACAAGGAACCAU